AAACAAGAUAGACUGCUCUGAAUAAUAAUGUAUAAUAUUAACCUUAUGAGAGAUGUGGCCUUGUGUAUGAUAAGACAGAUGAGAAAGUAUGUAUCUUCUAUCUUGUCGUAAGGCUGUACUCUCUAUGAAAAAUAAUAUUUGUUUUUGCAAGAUGGCAAUUCAAUCAUCACCUGCAGCUCAAUUAGAAGAACAAAGAGGCUCAUCUACACCUCACAGCAGAAGUGAGUUCCUUCACCUACCCUGUACUUUUUUCUGAAACCUGGAUAGGCAAAGCUCCCCAUCCUAACUUGGAGUAUGAGAGAACUCCCCUGCCCUUACCCAAGCACAUCCUGCCCCUGGAUAUUAGUCUAGCCUAGUGGUUCUCAAACAGAUAAUUUUGCCCUGUGGGGCACAUGUAGCACUAUCUAGAGACAGUUUUGGGUGUCACAACUUGGAGGAGGAGGAGGAGGAUGCCACUGACAUCCAGUGGAUAUAGGCUAGGGUUGCUAUUAAACAUCCUACAAUGUACAGGACAGUACCAACAAAAACAAAAAAUUACCCAGCCCAAAAUAUCAGUAGUACCAAGGGUAAGAUUCACUUGAGAAGCAUACUGCUCAGAAUAGGCUUGAAACUUUGAGGACUAUAGUGCUGGGAGUGCUGUCUCAUGCAUUUAGAAGGGGUAGGUUGUUCCAAAGAAUAUCUGAAGGCUUGCUUUGAGAGGUGAGAAGAAGGAAGCAUUGUUCGGAGAUAUUGGGGCCUAGGAGCAGGGGAGAAAAAUGAGAAAGUGGACUACACCAAUGAGGGUUUCCAUUAAAAUGGAAUUUCCAGUUCCUCUUUUUCUGACUGGAACCAUGGAGGAUGCAGAAGAGAAGAAAAAGAAGGUUCCUGCUGUGUCAGAAACCCUUAAGAAAAAGCGAAGAAAUUUCCCAGAGCUGAAGAUCAAACGCCUGAGAAAGAAGUUUGCUCAAAAGAUGCUUCGAAAGGCAAGGAGGAAGCUUAUCUAUGAAAAAGCUAAGCAUCAUCACAAGGAAUACAGGCAGAUUUACAGAACUGAGAUUCGAAUGGCUAGGAUGGCAAGAAAACCAGGCAACUUUUAUGUACCUGCAGAACCCAAAUUGGCAUUUGUCAUCAGGAUCCGAGGUAUCAAUGGUGUGAGCCCAAAGGUCCGAAAGGGGUUGCAGCUUCUUCACCUUCGCCAGAUCUUCAAUGGAACCUUUGUUAACCUCAACAAGGCUUCAGUUAAUAUGCUGAGGAUUGUAGAACCAUAUAUUGCAUGGGGGUACCCAAACCUAAAGUCAGUAAAUGAACUAAUCUACAAGUGGGGUUGUGGCAAAAUCAAUAAGAAAUGAAUUGUGUUGACAGAUAACAAUUUGAUUGCUCGAUCUCUUGAUAAAUAUGGCAUCAUCUACAUGGAGGAUCUGAUUCAUGAAAUCUAUACUGUUGGGAAAUGCUUCAAAGAAGCAAAUAAUUUCUUGUGGCCCUUCAAGUUAUCAUCUCCACGGGGUGGAAUGAAGAAAAAGACAACGCAUUUUGUAGAAGGUGGAGAUGCUGGCAACAGGGAGGACCAGAUCAACAGGCUUAUUAGAAGAAUGAACUAUGGUGUCUACCAUGAUUAUUUUUGUAAUCUGGCCAGUUAAUAAACAGUGACUGCUUUCAAAUUGGAAAAAAAAAUGGAAUUUCCAUUAAAAUUCUUGAAGACAUUUCCAUUAAACUGAGGAGAAAGUCAUUGUCAUUUUCUUUGUUGGCUUAAUCCUCAUUAAUGGGAGUAUGAAGGAACAAGACAGCAAAGAAUGUGACUGACCCCAUAUUCAACCCUCUGCUGACCCGACAGACAGGAAGUUAUAUCCUGUCCUGAGGACUCUGUCCAGGGGUUCCAAGUGGUAACCAGGGGCAACAUGAUGAGUGGUUUAUGCAAACAUCUCUGAUGAUGCUCUCAUCAGAGCACCAAAACAAAUACUCAUGGGAGGAGCAAGUCUGGGAGUACAACUAAAGGGUUUAAUACAACAUUGUCUGUCUGGGGUAAACUUCAAGAGCAAUUUUGGUGGCACGAAAGCCUGAUCUAAAUGUGCCCAAGAGAGUACAUGAGGAUGGAAAGUGAAGAUGGCAAGAACAGCAACUCUCUGGUAAGGGAAGGAGGAUGGGCAUUGGCGUGUCAAGAAAGAGUUUGUCUAUGUAAGUGUGAGCCUAUGUGUGUGGUUUCAAAUUAAAAUAUCUGAAUGUUGAUGGGAAUGACCCGCUAUGUUGUAGGCCAGAAACCUGCUUUAUAUCCAUAUUUUCCUAAAAUAAAUUCUACUAGAUCAACCAUCAACUCCAGUAGCAAUAAAGAAUAAUUGCUAAAUACCUUAAAGAGGUGUUUAGUUAUGGCACACAGUGGACACUCAGAAAACUUUUCUUGAAUGAAUAGAUAUAAUGCCAGCAGUUGUAUGUGCUCUGCUAAUAUAAGCUCCAUAACCAGUUAACCAGAAUUUAAACUGGACUACAAAACUCCUAAAUCUCUUCAAAGGGAUACGUUGUUGCCUAUGUAAAAAAGAAACUCAAACACGUAUAUUGAACUGGGAAUUCAUACUUGACGUGCAACUGAUUUAAGCCCUCAUUCAUGUUGUUUCAAAGAAAUAUACUGUCAGAUUCAUUGAAGAAGAACUGAGUUAGGUAAUGGCAAGUCAAGUUGCAAUAAUGAAUGAAGAUUAUAGCCGAAAACAUUACUGAGUUACAGCAGAGAAGAUGUGGUUCAACCAGUUAUAGGAGCUUUGAAGUGAACCAUUUCACCCUGGCCCCAGGUGAAAUUGUGAAACUGGCUUGGUCUGUCUGGGUGGCCCCUAGACCUCCCUCACUCCUUCAACCCUUAUUCUAGACUAACAAUCUCCUCCUGAGCCUCUAUCGUCUCCCUAACUUUUUUCCAAAUUAUAAAGAAAAUACAUGGUAUGUUGAAAUUACAGCCAAAGAUAUUCCUAAUUCUUGUAUCAUGAUAGCCUCAGAGCAAAUUUCCCAGGCUAUAGACUGAGAGUGCACCCCUACUGAGUUUACAUAAGCUCUGAUAUUUUCCCUAGAAGUAAAGGCUAUG